UACGUAGGGGGCUAGCGUUGUCCGGAAUCAUUGGGCGUAAAGAGCGUGUAGGCGGCCCGGUAAGUCCGCUGUGAAAGUCGGGGGCUCAACCCUCGGAUGCCGGUGGAUACUGUCGGGCUCGAGUACGGAAGGGGCAAUCGGAAUUCUUGGUGUAGCGGUGAAAUGCGUAGAUAUCAAGAGGAACACCUGAGGUGAAGACGGGUUGCUGGGCUGAUACUGACGCUGAGGCGCGAAAGCUAGGGUAGCAAACGGG
rnacentral:rRNA from 1 species